UACGUAGGUCCCGAGCGUUGUCCGGAUUUAUUGGGCGUAAAGCGAGCGCAGGUGGUUUAAUAAGUCUGAUGUAAAAGGCAGUGGCUCAACCAUUGUGUGCAUUGGAAACUGUUAGACUUGAGUGCAGUAGAGGAGAGUGGAAUUCCAUGUGUAGCGGUGAAAUGCGUAGAUAUAGGAAGGAACACCAGUGGCGAAGGCGGCUCUCUGGCCUGUAACUGACACUGAGGUGCGAAAGCGUGGGGAGCAAACAGG
rnacentral:rRNA from 1 species